AAGCGGCUCUUCCCCACGGCGCCGUCGAAUCCCGUCUUCCUCUGCUCGCGCGGGCCGCGCCCCUGCUUCCCCUCCCUAGCCGAGCUCGCCGGUUCCCUUUCCCCAAGCUCCACGGCUGGCCGCGCCCAGUGUCCUCCUCUCAGCUCCCCACGCGCACCGGCUUGCUCCCUGCUCGGUUCCGUGACCGCGCCGUGUGUCCAUCUCCUGUGCGCGCGUGCUCCCUCCCUGUUCCUCCAAACCAGUCGAGCUCCUCCCUGUGUCCGUACCGAGCUCCUUCCUUACGCCGGUCUGAAAUCUCUGGUGCUCGCCCAGUCUGGCGCGACAAACAGGGAAAGGGAAAGAAACAGCCGAGUUCCUCUGCGCGCAGCCACAUCUUCUCGCUCGGCCUGCUCCGGAUCCGAAGCUGGUCACCCUGUGUGCUCGACUUUGCCUUGUCGCAAAACCCCGACGCCGUCGAGCCUCGCUGCCCAUCGUGAAGUUCCCUGUUGUCAGCCUCCGCACCUGUCCUAGGUCGUCGUAGCCAGUUUGACUCCGUCCCGUGGUGGUGUUGCGUUGCCAUCGAGUCCCGAUAUCAAUCUGGUGGUCGUCGAAGUGAAGCUCUGAACGGAUUCGGCCACAUCCAGCACUACCCAUGUCGUUAUCGUUCGUCUUCGUGCUGUGAGCGACAACAUCGUCAUUUCCUUCAUGUGCUCAUCCUCGAUCUCCGUCUCACCAUCACCCUUAAUCACAGCACUGUGUCGACGACUUGCGAUCCUCACUCUCGUGCUCACGCUUCAUCGAAUGCCACUCCAGUACUCGUUAGAAGAAGAGCUUCAUCAGUUGAUUAUUGAAGAAAAGAAGAACCCUAGGUGACAUCUACUUAGUACUCGAUAGAAAGUCUAAAGUAGAAUUUAUCGUCGUGUCCAUGGAAGUGGAGCAACUUAAUAUUGGUAAGCGAACUCGUUACUUCGGAUAGUUGGAAUGGUAAUUUGAUUGGCUAGAUUUAUUAAUCGUAAUAAUCCUCGUGUUGGCACAGGCGCGUUGUGGUAGUGUUAAAUAUGUGUGAAAUACGAUGGAGUUAGUAAUGCGAAAGGUAGGUUAAAUUAUACGAUAUUCAGGCGAGCUGAUGACGUAAAAGAUAGGCUUAGUAUUCCUAUCAGCUAGUUGAUAGAUUUUCUAGUGUCAUUAUGUCAAUUUGGUUAAUUGAUAUAGUCGAUGCCCUGCUUAAUUAGUUAGUUUAUUCUAGGUUUGGUAUUUAGUUCGAUGUCAUGAGGGAUAUGCAAAUUACCUCGUGCAAUUAACAGUGAAUGGCAUCGACCUAUCUAAUUAGCGUGGAAUUCAAGAUAAUUGAGAAACACAAUUUAGAAAGUUAGUUAAUAUGCCCUCUUACUCUAAGUUGUCGGUAUUCGAAAAUAGUGAAUAAAAAUGUGACGAGUAAUUUGAUAUUGGGUGUUUUAACAAAAGACUUGUGCUUAGCUUAUUAUUACUUGAUGUUUGAAGUAGAUGCGAUUACGCUAGAAAAGUGUAAUAAUUGGGCGUAGUCGUAUAUCAGUAACUAGUGUUUCCGUAUAAAAUUGUACAACGCCUCGCCGCUAGGUGUUUAAUUCGCUAUCGCGUAGCACUAUUUAGGUUUGUAAUAUUCUUGUCUAUAUGCAUUCAUGUGCAUAAUGCAUUUCAUUCAGAUACGUUAAUUAAUCGCGUGAUGCGAAAGACGAGCCAAGUCGACCCCAAGCGCGGGCUAGUGAUGCUGAUGGACGAACCUGCCUGAACAAAUGUCAAGACAAAAGGAUGGUCGUCAAGUGGUCGCCACCUAACAAACACUAACAUAGUGUUUAUUCCAGGCAAGCCCCGGUGCAUGCAACCCCUUCCUUAUGUUUUAAAUAAUUUUUACACAAUUUAAGUCUAGCGAAAUGUGCAUUAGGUUUAUAAGAGUUGCUUGGAAACCCUUUGAUGCAUUGGCUACCUUGAAAUCCAUUCCUUCUAUAGAUACUUCUGGUGAAGUAUCAAAUAUGAUUUACAAAAUUGCUUAGCCUUGCCUAGAGGUAAAUCUUGCGGAUAGAGGUUGUCCUUUGCGUUAAUGCCUAACUGAGGGGUUAUCCUGAGGAAGGAUGGCUUCUGCCUGCAAGAAUAUUUUCAUUGGGAGCAGUGGUUGGAUCUUACUGCAAAGUUCCCUAUAAUGCUCUUUUCAUCCUAAGGAAUACAAACAAUCCUAAGGAUGGAAGUACUUAAAUCCAGACUUGGGCUUGGAACAGGUGAUGUUCUACCCAGGUUGAUUAAGGAUUAUACUGAAUGUAGGCUUGAUGAUCGAGGACCUUUUAACUGGUCACAUGCCUCAUCAUGGGUAAGCUUUGCCUCGGGCAGACUAAUACCAGAAUAAGACAACACACAAUGGGAGUGGAGAGAUGGCGAGAGUAGCGUGUACCCUCCGUGGCAAGAGGCUGAACGGUUGUGUAUCUGUGCUCUCGGUUGGCGUGAACCUAAUCUGGACUUAAGAACCCCGGUGGCGAGUUGACAUAUGCAAGGGUUAAGUGCUACAUAUGUCGUGUGAUUGGAGAUCCCCAACUGGGUAUUAAUCGAUUCAGAUCGCCGUUACUUCUCGGACAUGAAGACUUGGUCACUGCCCUGCAAUCUAAGUCAUGGAUGGAAUCUUAAUGAGCAAAAAUCAUGUUGGAUUGAAUAAUGUGAUGGUGAAAUUAGACUAGAUGCAAACAAGGUAUAUUAAUACUUAAUCUAGCAUUAAAAUGUUGGAAGUAAGGACUCACUUUAGUAAGCUAUUUCUGCAAAAGUAUCUAAGUUGACUUGUUAAAGCCUUUUCCUUGAUUCCUAUUUAACCAGCAUAUCCUUGAGAGUCUUUUCUUUAGUCGGGUAAGUCUUGCUGGGUAUUUGCGUACUUAGGGUUUUACCCAUUGUUGCUGUAGGUUACGAGUCACUUUGAUUGUGAUUGGUGUUAAGCGCUGGUGGGCACGACCUUCUUAUAAGUCUAAGUACUUCUUCUAUACUUCUUAUUGAGGAUUGUCACUUAAGCUAGCAUAUAUUUCAAACUUAUAAACAAUUUAUAAUAAUUCAAAGUUAUUUCUUUGAAUCAAUUUUGUAAUCACUCCGAUCAUGUACAUUGUAAAACUUGAUGUAACAUGUAAAAUUUGGUAAAAAGAUUUCCGCUGCAAAAUUGUUGGUGUGUGAUUUGUGUUUACUUAAUCCCACGGUUCUGGUUAUAAGUGGUUUAUCCGGGGUCCUUGGGACACUCGGACGGAUCCUGUUAAGUUAUCUGGUGCACAUGCACAGCCGUCUGAGGUCUUCGAGACAAGGACAGGUGCAUGUGGGCCCAAUAACUUGGAAGGUUCUGCCAGAGCUGGUAUCAGAGCAGGAUUAAGUAUAUACGGUCACAUACGUAUUUUCAAAACAAAAGUUUGGUUUCGAAAAACCUAUUUUCAACUAAACACAUUGUUUGUCUUUGAAAAACAGUUUUGAAAAACUAUAAUGCUAGUGACAUCCUCUGUUAAGCCCUAAAUUAAGGACUAUUAGGUGGCUUAUUUAAAAACCACUAACCCACAACCGGGGGUAUUGCAUACAUGUGUAUUGUUAUUUGUGAGGCCAUUCAGUUUUGAAUGGAUCAACGCUCAGGUAAGGCGAGAUGUGAGAGCAUGACCGAACAAAAGUCGGUCUAGGGAAGAGUAUAAAAAGUGCUUGACUAUAUACAUGUUUUACAUAUGUAUAUAUGAAGGCUACGAUGUGGAGUAUUUACUUUUCUGGGAUCCAGUACCCCAUGGAUGUGUAUGGGUAUACAGACAUGGGAAUACUGAGAAGUGUAAUGUACUUGCAACGACGCACCUACGCUCAGGUAAGAAGGUGAGUUACCAUAAUGAGUUGCCCUAUGGUUAAAGUGUGGCAACGGCGCCUAUGCGUGGCUCGGCGCUUAAUGAUGAGCUGGCCUCCAUAUAGCAAUAUAUGGAGUAUAAACUGUGAUAAACUGUCAUGUGUGGAUCUUGCAUCAUGGGAAAUUGGGUUGUGAUGGAAUUUUUUGCAGGUACACUAACCUCGAAAACGUAUGUGUAGCUGACGACUAGCAAAAUACCGUGAGAGUCGUAAGUAUGCCACCGAGAUAGAACAGUACUGCCACAUUAGAUUGGCACAAAUUCGUGAGGACGUAUAGGACGAGCAUGCAUCCUGAUUGUUGCAUUAUGUUUGUCACCUAUACACCCAAAAUGCUUUUCUCAUCUUUAUUCCAGUAGCCGAUGAUUCUAAAUGAUGUGGGUAUUAGAGUUACUUGUUUAGAUGGCUUCCAGCUUUUCUUAAUUUGACCAUUAGUGCAAAAUGUGUUUGCUCUUAUGCUUGAUGUGGCGAUAGAAUGUUUGUGAGUUGUUUGCCUAAACCCAAAAUUAGGCCAUGUUCUUAUUUAGUGAACCAUGACCCAAAUUUGAAUUAUCCGUUAUCACUCCAUGACCAAACACAUACAAAUAAAUGCUUAGAUAAUUUCUUUGCUGGAAAUAAAGUGUACUCAGGCUUAAAACAAGAAUCUCGAGUCAUAUUUCCUUCCAAAACCAUUCCCUUGUUCGGUUGGUGCAAUUUGAUAUCUCUAUUCUAUUUUGCUUCUCCUAGAGAAUUGCAUUGUUGCUUUAUGACCCAACCUAGGAAAGACAUGUCCGAUUAUUUUCUUGAGUUUGAUGCCUUUGGUUUCCUCAUAUUUAUCGAAGGCAUACCAACUUCAUCUUGCGAUUGUUUUCCCUCCGUGCUAAUCAAAUACUAAUCCUUGGCCUUGUAAUCGUUGCGAUGGGCAUAGAAAUAUGCUUGGGGCUGAAAUAACAGUCUCCCAUUGUACUCCUUCCUCAAUUUAUUUUUGGUUAUGGCCAUGCCUUGUUCAUUUCAUCGGGCCAUAAUCUAUUUGGCUCUCUACUUGUAACCAUUCUGACAGGUAGAGUCUCUUUGUAUAUUGUCCCCCCUGCUCAUUCUAUUGGUGUGGCGAGAUUUCUCAUUGGUUACGUCUGGUAAUGGUGUUAUGACUAAAAUUGAUGAUGUCGUGAUGAAACUGAGGGCCUCCUGUGAAUGUACACACAUGGUUGUGCUGCUCGGCACACGCUGGUAUCACAGUGGUAGUUGUCAUCCAUUAUGAGACUAUAUCAAUGUGUUUCUUGGCACAAUGUCUAGUUUUGCCACGUGAGAUUCAUUAUUGGUGCCAGUUUUGUAAUGGUGUCAUGGUUAAGGACUUAUGGUGCCGCCGCGAAACUGAGAGCCCCUUGUGAAUGUACACGCAAGGUUAUGCUGCUUGGCGCAUGCUGGUAUCAAGGUCUCUAGUCAUGAUCCAUUGUGGAACUACACUGAUGUGUUAUCUUCCGUGGACCUUCCCUUGAAACAGUUUCUAUGUUGUUUGUUAAGUGAUCAAGCAACAUCUAUCAUCUCUGUCAGAUCAAAAGGGCAUACCACUUUCAUGUGUGGUCUCUUUUCUUUUGAUCUUAGUAGUGACUGCACGUAUACAAGUUCCCUUUACGUCCUUUGUGUAAAGGUGAAGCCUUGGAGCAUUUUAGUUUUGGAGAGACAACUGAUUAGCUCUCAAAAUGGAGAUCUGUUUCCCCUGCUGUUGAAAUGUAGGAGUUUGUUCACUCGCUCCCUUAUUUAAUCCAUGUAUUCCCGAACCAAGUCAGUUCAUCUCGCAUGAAGAAACGGAUGGACAACCUAACCAAAUGGAUUUCUACCCAAAUACAUGAUCGCCUAUUAGCAAAUGUGAACUCUCAAUUCUUGGCUUACCGAUGGUGUCGGGUACCAUAAUUAGGGGUACCCCCAACACUCCUAAACUCAGCUAGUAAUCACCAUCAGCACAAGUUGCAGAGACUGAUGACAGCGUCAAAAAAGGUCAAGGCUCCGUCCGCUCAAGGGACGCGAUCUCGCCUCGCUCGAGCCCAGCCUCGGGCAGGAAUAGUAGACCCAGGAGAAUUCACGCCUCGCCCGAGGGCCUCCUCAAGCAACGGGCGCACCCUCGACUCGCCCGAGGCCCAGCUCGGGCAGGCUUCGCAGUGAAGCAACCUUGUCCAGAUCGCCUCGCCAACCGACCGUAUCGCAGGAGCAUUCAAUGCGAGGAUCGCCUGACACCUUAUCCUGACGCACGUUCCUCAGUCGACAGGGCCGAAGUGACCGCAGUCACUUCGCCCCUCCACUGACUGACCUGACAGGAAAACAGCGCCGCCUGCCCCGCUCCAACUGCUGUGCCACCCGCUAGGGCAGGGCUGACAAUAGCUAAGUCCAGCCUCAAGCGCAACAGGAAGCUCCGCCUCGCCCGACCCCAGGGCUCGGCCUCAACCCCGGCCUCGGAAGACGGUCUCUGCCUCACCCGACCUCAGGGCUCGGCCUCAACCUCGACCUCGGAAGACAGUCUCUGCCUGGCCCGACCCCAGGGCUCGACCUCGGCCCUGACCUCAGAAGGAAUCGCGCCCUCAACCGACCCCGGCCUCGACCUCAGGAGGAGUCACCGCCUCACCCGACCUUGGGCUCAAACCGACCACGCCACAGGGGGGAUACAUCAUUACCCUACCCCUAGCUAGCUCAGGCUACGAGGAACAAGACAGGCGUCCCAUCUGGCUCGCCCCGGUAAACAAGUAAUGAUGGCACCCCGCGUGCUCCCAAGACAACGGCGGUUCUCAGCCCCGUACGGAAGCAAGGAGACGUCAGCAAGGUCCCGGUAGCCCCGACAGCUGUGCUUCUAUAGGGCUCAAGCGCUCCUUCGACGGCCAUGACAUGGCAUGCACAGGGCUCUAGCACCUCUCCAACAGCCACGUUGGCAUGUACAUAGGGCUCUGGCUCCUCUCUACCGGACACGUUAGCGUAUUGCUACACCCCCAUUGUACACCUGGACCCUCUCCUUGCAUCUAUAAAAGGAAGGUCCAGGGCCCUCAUACGAGUGGGUGGUCACGCGGGAGGACGGGCUGACGAACAGGCUCUCUCUCUCUCUCCCUCGCGAACGCUUGUAACCCCCUACUGCAAGCGCAUCCGCCCUGGGCGCAGGAUAACAUGAGCCGCGGUUCUCUCCCCCCCUUGUGUUCCAUCUCGCGCCGACCCAUCUGGGCUGGGACACGCAGCGACAAUUUUACUCGUCGGUCCAGGGACCCCCCGGGGUCGAAACACCGACAGUUGGCGCGCCAGGUAGGGGCCUGCUACGUGUUGACGAACAACUUCCCGUCAAGCUCCAGAUGGGUAGUCUCCAACAACCUCUCCAGCCCGGGACGCUGCUCCGUUUUAGGAGUCUUGAGUUCAUGUCCCUCGACGACAGCUACGACAUGGUACUCCUUCCUCCGCAGCACGACGGCAACAACGGCGGCCGUCAGCCCGCCCGGCGGCGGCGGACUCGACGACGUCUUCCUCCCGUGGCGGAAGAGCAACAUCCGGGUCUGUCCCGCCACCUUCCUCGCCGCAGGAGGAGGAGGCGGGGCAACUGUGGCCAAGCAGGAGGCAGCACCUCGUCGGCACCCCGGUGGGGGACAUGUCAGGCGUUGACCUCGCACCCGAGACGACGGCGAGUGUCGUUUCCCCGCAACGCGCCAACCCCAAGCGGACAGAUGACGCCAGCACCCUUGCGGAGGACUUGCUGGGCGUUAGCCUCGUACCUGAGAUAACGGUACAGUCCGUCCCCUAUGCGACUUCGUCACCAUCCGUCGAUCAAGAGGUACCGUCCGUUUUUCACCCUGUGCCUUUUAGAUUCAGCUUCGAUCCACUAAGCGACCCCGCUUCGGUGGAUGCUUUCAUAAAGGCAUACCCCAACCUUCUGGGGUACCAUAUGUGGUCAUCCUGGGACCGACUGACGGCCGUCUCGACCUAUGGGCCCCUGGGUUCCGAGGAAGAUGACGAGCCCGACUCUGGUUGGGAUUUCUCCGGGCUCCGUGCUCUCAGUGCCAUGCGAGACUUCAUGACCGCAUGUGACUACUGCCUCUCCAAUUGCUCCGAUGAUGGCCACGGCCUUGACAACGAGGACUGUGGCCCAAGUCGCGAAUGUUUCCACGUCGAUCUAGGGGGUCUCGACGAAGGCAACCACCUUGGUAUGCUGGAGGACAACAAUCCCCCUAGGCCUGCGCCUCGCGUUGACAUCCUGCGGGAGCUAGCUGUGGUCCCAGUCCCUGUGGGGGGUCAGGACACACAGCUUGAGCACACCCGUGAGAUGCAGGCCAAGCUCGACGAGGAAGCAGGACAACUUGUGCAGCUCCGGCAAAACAUCGGGCAGGAGUGGGCAAGCCGAGCAUUAGCCGGAGAAGCGCGUCAUCAGGCCCAGGAUGUCCAGCGCCGUAUCGCUAACGAUGCCAGGGCAAGGCUGCCCCCGGCUUCCAGUGGGGUCGGCCAGAACCUGGCUGCAGCGGCAAUUCUACUCCGAGCGAUGCCAAAGCCAUCCACCACCGAGGGGCGGCGUAUCCAGGGAGAACUCAAGAAUCUCCUGGAGGAGGUCGCGGUCCGACAGGCCGAAAGCUCUACCUCCCAAAGGCAAGGGUACCCCCGGAGCAUCGCGCCGCGACUUCUCGAUUCAUGCGGGAAGCCUCGGUCCACUCCGGGCGCACGUGGGACGCAACGCCUGCAACCCCGGGUCGCCUCGGCAACGAGCACCACCGCCGCGACCAUCGAGCCCGCCUCGAUGAGAAGGUGCGCCGAGGCUACCACCCCAAGCGUGGGGGACGCUACGAUAGCGGGGAGGAUCAGAGCCCCUCGCCCGAACCACCCAGUCCGCAAGCUUUCAGCCGGGCCAUAUGACGGGCACCGUUCCCGACCCGGUUCCGAGCCCCGACUACCAUCACUAAGUACUCGGGGGAAACGAGGCCGGAACUGUGGCUUGCGGACUACCGGCUGGCCUGCCAACUGGGUGGAACGGACGAUGACAACCUCAUCAUCUGCAACCUCCCCCUGUUCCUCUCUGACGCCGCCCGAGCCUGGCUAGAGCAUCUACCUCCUGCGCAGAUCUCCAACUGGGACGACCUGGUCAAGGCCUUCGCCGGAAACUUCAAGGGCACAUACGUGCGCCCUGGGAACCCUUGGGAUCUCCGAAGCUGCCGCCAGCAGCCAGGAGAAUCCCUGCAAGACUACAUCCGGUGAUUUUCGAAGCAGCGCACCGAGCUGCCCAACAUCACCGACUCAGAUGUCAUCGGGGCGUUCCUCGCCGGUGCCACUUGCCGCGACCUGGUGAGCAAGCUGGGUCGCAAGACUCCCACCAAGGCGAGCGAGUUGAUGGACAUCGCCACCAAGUUCGCCUCUGGUCAGGAGGCGGUCGAAGCCAUCUUCCGUAAGGACAAGCAGCCUCAGGGACGCCAGCAGGAAGACGUUCCCGAGGCGUCCGCCCAGAGCGGCACAAAGAAGAAGGCCAAGAAGAAGUCGCAAGUGAAACGCGACGCCGCCGACGCAGAUCUUGUCACCGCCGUCGAGCACAGGAACCCUCAGAAGCCUCCCGGAGGGGCCAACCUAUUCGACAAGAUGCUCAAGGAGUCGUGUCCCUAUCACCAGGGUCCCGUCAAGCACACCCUUGAGGAAUGCGUCAUGUUUCGGCGCUACUUCCAUAAGGCUGGGCCCCCGGCGGAAGAUGGCAAAGGCCGAGACAACGACAAGAAGGAGGGCAACAAGGCAGAAGAGUUCCCCGAGGUCCACGACUGUUUCAUGAUCUACAGUGGGCAAGUGGCGAACGCCUCGGCUCAGCACCGCAAGCAGGAGCGCCGGGAGGUCUGCUCGGUGAAGGUGGCGGCGCCAGUCUACCUAGACUGGUCCGACAAGCCCAUCACCUUCAACCAAGGCGACCACCCCGACCGCAUGUCGAGCCUAGGAAAGUACCCGCUCGUCGUCGACCCCGUCAUUAGCAACGUCAGGCUCACCAAGGUCCUCAUGGACGGAGGCAGCAGCCUCAACAUCAUCUACGCCAAGACCCUCGGGCUCUUGCAAAUCGAUCUAUCCAUGAUCCGGGCUGGUGCGGCGCCUUUUCACGGGAUCAUCCCCGGGAAGCGCGUCCAGCCCCUUGGACAACUCGAUCUGCCCGUCUGCUUCGGGACUCCCUCCAACUUCCGAAAGGAAACCCUCACAUUCGAGGUGGUCGGAUUCCGAGGAACCUACCAUGCAGUGCUGGGGAGACCAUGCUACGCCAAGUUCAUGGCCGUCCCUAACUACACCUACCUCAAGCUCAAAAUGUCGGGCCCCAACAGGGUCAUCACCGUCGGAUCCACGUACCGACACGCGUACGAAUGCGACGUGGAGUGCGUGGAGUACGCUGAGGCCCUCGCCGAAUCCGAGGCCCUCAUCGCCGACCUGGAGUGCCUCUCCAAGGAGGUGCCUGAUGCGAAGCGCCACGCCGGCAACUUCAAACCAGCGGAGGCAGUUAAGUCCGUCCCCCUCGACCCCAGCAACGACGCCUGCAAGCAAGUCCAGAUCGGCUCCGAGCUUGACCCCAAAUAGGAAGCAGUGCUCAUCGACUUUCUCCGCGUGAACGCCGAGGUGUUUGCAUGGAGUCCCUCGGACAUGCCCAGCAUACCGAGGGAUGUCGCUGAGCACUCGCUGGAUAUCCGAGCUGGAGCCCGACCCGUGAAGCAGCCUCUGCGCCGAUUCGACGAAGAAAAGCGCAGAGCCAUAGGCGAGGAGAUCCACAAGCUGAUGGCUGCAGGGUUCAUCAAAGAGGUAUUCCAUCCCGAAUGGCUAGCCAACCCUGUGCUUGUGAAAAAGAAAGGAGGGAAAUGGAGGAUGUGUGUAGACUACACUGGUCUAAACAAAGCAUGUCCGAAGGUUCCCUAUCCUCUGCCUCGCAUCGAUCAAAUCGUGGAUUCCACUGCUGGGUGCGAAACCCUGUCAUUCCUCGAUGCCUACUCGGGUUAUCACCAAAUCAAGAUGAAAGAGUCCGACCAGCUCGAGACUUCUUUCAUCACACCUUUUGGCAUGUACUGCUAUAUUACUAUGCCAUUUGGUUUAAGGAAUGCAGGUGCGACAUACCAAAGGUGCAUGAACCACGUGUUCGGAGAGCACAUCGCCCGAACGGUCGAGGCUUACGUCGAUGACAUCAUAGUCAAGACGAGGAAAGCCCCUGACCUCCUCUCUGACCUUGAAACGACAUUCAAGUGUCUGAAGGCGAAAGGCGUAAAACUCAAUCCCGAGAAGUGUGUCUUCGGAGUCCCCUGAGGCAUGCUCCUGGGUUCAUCGUCUCCGAGCGGGGCAUCGAGGCCAACCCGGAGAAAAUCGCGGCCAUCACCAACAUGGGGCCUAUCAAAGACUUAAAAGGAGUACAGAGGGUCAUGGGAUGCCUUGCGGCUCUGAGCCGCUUCAUCUCGCGCCUCCGCGAAAGAGGCCUACCUUUGUACCGCCUCUUAAGGAAGACCGAGCGCUUCGCUUGGACCCCCGAGGCCGAGGAAGCCCUCGGAAACUUAAAGGCGCUCCUUACAAGCGCGCCCGUCUUGGUGCCCCCCGCUGCGGGAGAAGCCCUCUUGAUCUACGUAGCCGCAACCACUCAGGUGGUCAGCGCCGCGAUCGUGGUCGAGAGACGAGAAGAAGGGCAUGCAUUGCUCGUCCAGAGGCCGGUCUACUUCAUCAGUGAAGUGCUAUUCGAGACCAAGAUCCGCUACCCGCAAAUCCAGAAGCUACUGUACGCGGUAAUUCUGACGCGACAAAAGUUGCGUCACUACUUCGAGUCUCAUCCGGUGACUGUGGUGUCAUCCUUCCCCCUGGGGGAGAUCAUCCAGUACCGAGAGGCCUCGGGUAGGAUUGCAAAGUGGGCGGUGGAGAUCAUGGGCGAGACAAUCUCGUUCGCUCCUCGGAAGGCCAUCAAGUCCCAAGUCUUGGCGGACUUCGUGGCUAAAUGGGUCGACACCCAGCUACCAACAGCUUCGAUCCAACCGGAACUCUGGACCAUGUAUUUCGAUGGGUCGCUGAUAAAAACAGGAGCGGGUGUGGGCCUGCUCUUCAUCUCACCCCUCGGAAAGCACCUCCACUACGUGUUGCGCCUCCAUUUCCCGGUGUCAAACAACGUGGCCGAGUACGAGGCUCUAGUUAACGGGUUGCGCAUCGCCAUCGAGCUAGGGGUUCGGCGCCUCGACGCUCGUGGCGACUCGCAGCUUGUCAUCGACCAAGUCAUGAAGAACUCCCACUGCCUCGGCCCGAAGAUGGAGGCCUACUGCGACGAGGUUCGGCGCCUGGAAGACAAGCUCUACGGGCUCGAGCUCAACCACGUCGCUCGAUGGUACAACAAGACUGCGGAUGAGCUGGCUAAAAUAGCCUCGAGGCGGACAACGGUUCCCCCGGACGUCUUCUCCCGAGACCUACAUCAACCCUCCGUCUAGACCGACGACACGCCCGAGCCUGAGGAAGCCUCGGCCCAGCCCGAGGCACCCUCGGCCGCCGAGGGUGAGACACUGCGCGUCGAGGAAGAGCGGAAUGGGGUCACGCCUAAUCGAAACUGGCAGACCCCAUACCUGCAAUAUCUCCACCGAGGAGAGCUACACCUCGACAAAGCCAAAGCUCGGCGACUGGCGCGGCGCGCUAAGUCGUUCGUCUUACUGGGUGACGAAAAGGAGCUCUACCACCGCAGCCCCUCAGGCAUCCUUCAACGAUGCAUAUCCAUCGCCGAAGGUCAGGAGCUAUUGCAAGAGAUACACUCGGGGGCUUGCGGUCACCACGCAGCACCUCGAGCCCUUGUGGAAACGCCUUCCGACAAGGUUUCUACUGGCCGACCGUGGUGGCUGACGCCACUAGGAUUUUACGCUCCUGCCAAGGGUGUCAAUUCUACGCAAGGCAGACGCACCUGCCCGCUCAGGCCCUGCAGACGAUACCCAUCACCUGGCCGUUUGCGGUGUGGGGUCUGGACCUCGUCGGUCCCUUGCAGAAGGCACCCGGGGGCUUCACGCACCUGCUGGUCGCUAUCGACAAAUUCUCCAAAUGGAUCGAGGUCCGACCCCUAAACAGAAUCAGGUCCGAGCAGGCGGUGGCGUUCUUCACCAACAUCAUCCAUCGCUUUGGGGUCCCGAACUCCAUCAUCACCGACAAUGGCACCCAGUUCACUGGCAGGAAGUUCCUGGACUUCUGCGAGGACCACCACAUCCGUGUGGACUGGGCCGUCGUAGCCCACCCCAUGACGAAUGGGCAGGUAGAGCGUGCCAACUGUAUGCUUUUGCAGGGACUAAAACCGAGGAUCUACAACGACCUCAACAAGUUCGGCAAGCGAUGGAUGAAGGAACUACCCUCGGUGGUCUGGAGUCUGAGGACGACACCAAGCCGAGCCUUGGGCUUCUCGCCGUUCUUUCUAGUAUAUGUGGCCGAGGCUAUCUUGCCCACAGACUUAGAAUACGGUUCCCAGAGGACGAGGGCGUACGACGACCAAAGCAACCAGACCAGCCGAGAAGACUCACUGGACCAGCUGGAAGAGGCUUAGGACAUGGCCUUACUACACUCGGCACGGUAUCAGCAGUCUCUGCGACGCUACCACGCCCGAGGAAUUCGGCCCCGAGACCUCCAGGUGAGAGACUUGGUACUUCGGUUGCGGCAAGACGCCCGAGGGCGCCACAAGCUCACUCCUCCCUGGGAAGGGCCGUUCAUCAUCGCUAAUAUUUUGAAGCCCGGAACAUACAAGCUGGCCAAUAGUCAAGGCGAGGUCUACAACAACGCUUGGAACAUCCGACAGCUACGUUGCUUUUACCCUUAAGAUGUUUUCAAGUCGUUCAUAUACCUCGUUCUCUUUACAUACACAAAUAGAGUCUGACCGUCAAGGAAGGGUUAGCCUUGCCUCGGCAAAGCCCGACCCUCCCUCGGGGUCUAGAAAGGGGGGAACCCCCUCUGCGUCAAAAUUUUCCUCGGAAAAGUUUUCUACCAAAACGACUUUCGUGUUUCCCGACUAUAUCGACAACAGAAUCCCGCAAAACGAAUAAGAGCGCAUGUAAGCGGCAAGGCCGACCGAGCCGAGGGACUCCUACGCCUCCGGGAUACAGAUACCUCACUCGUCACCUUCUGCGAAAAAUAACUCUUACUUGGAUAAGCGAUUCUGCUACUGACGAACAAGUCCGGAUACUCGAAACAAGAGGAAAAGAAACGCAGCUGUUGGGGACUUGUUCUCAAAUGCUAAGAGUUAAGAACAAGGCAACAUGAAAAGUGUUAAAUGUUAAAGUCCUUCGUCCUUCGAGACAUUAUUUCCCUUCGGAUAUAAUGAAUUUCGGAUGAAGGUUGUGAAGGAAAAACCUUCGUGAGCACAAUAAAUGAUGAGGAAGAAUUCAUAUACGAAAUACGAAAAAUAAUAUAAACAUUAUCAUCAACUUAUUUUUAUUUGCAUUACCAUAUCCACAAUAACAAAUUAUAGAUAUACCUUUGGUUUGACGGAAAGUAAGGGUACAGGCGUGAUGCAAAAAGCGAAUGCCAAGUCAGCGUGAACAGUACGGGAGUAUUGUUCAUCUAUUUAUAGGCAAGGGACGCAGCCCAUGUAAAAUUACAUUCAUGCCCUUUACAUUUGCUAAUAACUCUAUAGUAAUUCUUCGAGGUCUAAUUUGCCUUUUCAUCUUUAAGUCGGUUCCCCUUUUCUACUGUUAUGCCGAAGCUUUCCUGCGCACAGCUUCAUGAUCACCUUGUCCUUCGUCAUAAUCAUCUUUCGUCUCGCUCAGGCUUCGUCCUGACCAUGCUCUCUAUGCUCAUGAUCCGAAACCGAAGAUACUUGUUCACAUAUUUCACUUGGAAAACAUUGUCAAAUCAUGUUUUUGAGGACCUUCGGAAGCCGAAGGCCCCCAACAGUAGCCCCUCGCAAUAUUAAUUUGCUAGAAUAAUAAAUUCAGAUUGCGAUAUGGACGAAGGCCUUAAGCCGAAGGUCCGAAAAAACACCUUCCCUUUGCUAGAAUAGCAAUAGUCAAUGACAAGUGGGACCCUGCCACUUGCGACGUGCUGGGCGUAUAAAUAAGGACGCACCGCAAGCACAUUUAGCACACUUUCUUGCCGUCGGCUCUUGCCUUCCUAAUUUUUAGCUCUUUGCACACCAACGCUUGCCUGGCUUUUAAAUUUUUAAGCUUCGUCUUUGAGAGCACUUUCUUAGCAUUUUCGAAGAUGUCUGAAGACAAGAAGUUGUCGCUGAGACGAAGCUAAGCCUUUCCGAAGAAAUGAAUCUCGGCUUCCUUGAAUCAAUAGCAAAAACAAACACAGAGAAGAUUACUAAGGAGAUUUUAGAGGGCCUAUCUGAAGACACUGGUGACAGCGACAACUAUGAUGUGGAAAGUGGUGGUGAAGAUUUCGAAGAUCGACCUUGGCGACCAAGCCAUGUAGUUUUUGGGAAAUCAAGCAUUAAACAAAGUCAUCUUGUCAAUAUGAGGGGUAGACAUUUUCGGGAUUUAUCUAUUGUGAGGGCUGACGAAGGGGAGAAAACUUGUCCGACUCCCGAGGAGAAUGAAGUCGUGAUAUUCCGAAGCUUCCUUAAGGCUGGACUUCAGUUUCCUUUGAGCACUUUCGUCGUGGAAGUUUUGAAGAUAUUCGAAAUCUGCCUCCAUCAAAUUACCCCCGAAGCAAUCAUAAGGAUGGGCAUCUUCGUAUGGGCUGUGAAGAGCCAAGGUUUGGAGCCAAAUGCCAAAAGUUUCUGUAGCAUGCAUGAGUUAUUAUAUGAGACAAAACCCUGGGGUAAAGAGCAAUACCAUAACAAUUUUGGCUGCUACAGCUUCGGUGCCCGCUCUGGGUCAAGCUGUCCCGUGCCAACUUUUCGGAAGAGAUGGCCUGGGGACUGGAUGAAGGAAUGGUUCUAUGUGAAGAACGACUUGAAGGCGCGAGAAGAUAUUAAAGAUAUCAUUAUGCGCCCUAUCUGGCAGCGCUUCGGCCUUCGGAAACCGAAGGUGGAAAUUGACGAAGCAGCCGAAGAAUGCCGGAGAGCCUUCGGUGUAGUUUGUUCUUUCAUCGGGACGAGGGAUUUGAUCCAGGAGCAUAUUGUCUUCAGAGUAUGGCCACUUGCGGAAAAGUGGGAAAUGCCAAAGGAAACCGGUGGACUAGUUAGGUUAAAAUUCACCUUCAAAUAUGGAGAUAAGUUCGUCGAGCUAGAUGAUGACUGGCUGAAAAGUAUUGAGGCCAUAAGUGAUGAGCUGCUUGGGCCAUACUCGAAGGCAGAAGAUACUGCACUGUCCACAGCCUUCGGAGGCCGGAAGAAGAAAAGGCUGAACCGGGUAUUUGAUGCCAUUGGGUUCAUAUAUCCUGACUAUCGUUACCCAACGCGGGGUCAAAAAAGGAAAGAUACGGCCUCUGCGAAGGAGGUUGCUUCAGCCGCUCUUAGUGAGCCAGUGCCAAAGAGGAAGAAGAUAAAGGUUCUUACGCACCGGCCACGCUAUAUUGAAUCGGCCACAGUACCCGAGUUUGUCGGUGAAUCCUCUUCGGCCCCCGAAGCCAGGGAGCCGACUCCCCUGCCGAAUGUUGAAGAGUCGGUCAUAAUGCCGGAGAUAGAGAAAAUAGAAGAACUAAAGACUAAAGAAACAAGGACAUCUGAAAUUUUAAGUCCUUCAACAAAAGUUGAAGUACCAAAAAGCCAAAAGGGUCCAGCAUUGACCCCAAAAGGAAAAGGAUGGUUAAUGUACUGGAUGUAUUGGAGACAAUAAAGUCUUCAAGCACUACUCCAAAGAGAAUUGUCGAAACUCCCGAAGUGCAAAUCGAAGCCUUUGGUGCCGAAGCUUCAAAGCACCAAGCUAAGACUGAAGCUAGGCCUUCAGAGCCCGCCAAGGUGGAAUCCUUGGAAACCAAAGAAACAGAAACAACAGAACAAAUUUUAACUGAAGAAACUGGCACUGCCGCCCCCGAAGCAUUUUCCGAAGCUUCCAAUUAUAUUUUACAACAUGCUUCGGGGAAAGAGUUGAGUGAAAAAGAAAAGCAAGAGGCUCAGUUCUAUGUCCAAAAACUGAAAUAUCCAAAGGGGGCGUUGAUAUUCAACGGCAGCGGAGAAGAAGACUUCUUGUAUUGUCUCCCUGACAGCAAGGAGAUUUCUGUCUGUCGGGAGAUGAGCAAAAGCUUCGGAUUCCCAACACUAGAAGACGGGCUCUCAGUGUUGUCAAAGAACGAGCUGGCCUUAGCAUACAAUAGUUUAAAGGUGAAAAAAUGAGAUCUUUGUAUUAUUUCUUGAAACCAAAAAUUUUCAUUUGCUUAAACUUGUUAAGACACAUUUUUUUUCAGGGCCUUAUACUUAGCAAUGCCCUAAGGGCACAAAAAGAUGCCGAAGACGAAGGGUGUACCAUAGCCUUGGGCAACCUUCGUUCCGAAGUAAUUGAACUAAGGAACGAAGGCCUCGAAAAAGAUAAAAUAUUACACUCGUUAGUGAAUAAAAUAAAAGAAGACGAAGCUGCUUUCAAAGCUCAAGCUGAGGCUCAGAAGCGCGAAAUUGAGGAUCUUCGGAAAUAGCUAGUCAGAGCUAAAGAAGAGUGCACACUUGAAGAAACAAAACGAGAAAUUAGUGAACAAUGGGGCAAACAUUUAGAAAAAACGUUGAAGAGCUUCGGGCAUCCAAGAAAAAGUGCUAUGAAAAAUCUAUAGAAUGUGUUAAGAAAAUAAGAACCAGCUUCGCCAGCGUUGGCGCAUUCUCAAGUGAGGAGAACUUCAUAAGGGGUGACCCCGAAGGCCCAAUUGGAUGGAUCAGCCAUGAAGCUGAAGCUUUUGAAGAAAUUUUGAAUAGUCGUGGAGACAUAUGUGCCUUUUCGGGUGCCAGGGGGAUUACCACUAUUUUGGAGAGGAAAGGCUGUGACCAUGUGAAAUUCUUGGCACAAUCCGAAGCCGCCUUAUCCUAUGAAGAUAUAAAAGACCCCUCGGCCGAAGCGAGCCUGGUCGGUGGAAAAUUUUUCACCGACAUCUGGGACAAUGGUGGCCGGGAGAUGGCCCAAGAAAUUAUACGAAGAAGCGAGAAAGGUAUUCAUGACGCUAGAAAAGUAGCAGAGGCCGCUGAGAAAAGUGCGGAUCCCGAAGGGCAAAUAGGUAUUGACUAGUAGUUUUUGGCUUUUUGUUGUAAUUUUUUGAUUUCGAACCUGUUUACACUUUGUAACACAGCCGCACUUUCUCCUCCCUCAGAGCCUGCCGAGCCAUCGGUGGACCCCCACGUGAAGGGGACGACGAAAUUAGAAAAAUGGCCGAAGCUAUCAUGGAUAAAGUUGUUGAUCAGCUACUAAACGAAGCUGCAGAAGUAGUUCUAAGGGAAGAUUAGAUGUUAUUGAAAAAACAUUUAGAAUGUAAUGUUUGCUGAGGAACAUGUGUAAUAUUUUGUAACUUUGAAUGUAAUAUAUAAGCUAUUUAUGGUUCUAUUCUUUACGAUGCAUGAAACUUCACAUACAUACCGUUUUUGAGCCUUCGGCAAAAAAACACCUUCCCUUCUUUUCAUGCUUUGUAAAUAAUAUCCGCGUUUUCAUAAAAUCAGUAACCAAUCCUCGUAACAUCAAUAACCAAUAGAUCUUUUCAUUUCAGAGUUUGACGAAGGUAUAGUUCUUCAAUAACUAUUAUUGUGCCCUAGCACUAUUUCUUCGAAACAAUCUUCGAAUAUCAACACUGAAACCCCCUUCUUGCGUCGUUGAUGCAACAUGAUGUAUGAUGUUAUGUUAUGCAAAUGAUGUGAUGAUGUGAUGUUAUGCAAAAUGAUAUUUGCCGAAGAUCGACAUUUUUUCACUGCAAGUCUCCCUUAGGAGCUUCUUCGCCUUUUACUUCAGCGGAAUCAGCGUUUAUUUUUCGCUGUAAGCCUCCCUUAGGAGCUUCUUCGCCUUUUACUUUCAGCGAAAUCAGCGUUUAUUUUUCGCUGUAAGUUCCCUUAGGAGCUUCUUCGCCUUUUACUUUCAGCGGAAUCAGCGUUUAUUUUUCGCUGUAAGCUCUGCAUUCCCUUCGCAACGACUUUUGAGCAGAAAACUUACGCUGCGCUCCCUUAGGAACGACUUUUUGUUAUUUCGAAGAUUCACAGUGUAACCAUAAAUUCUUAUGCUUCGGCAACUUUUUGGACUCCGUUAUUCCGUGGAGAAGGUAUACUUGUACUAUAGCAAAGUCGAAGCUAUUAAAAGAAAUUGAAAACGACAAAAAACACUUAGACUUUCAAUAAUUGUUCCUUAUUAAAAGAAAAUGAUAUUGAAUGCAAAAACUGCUGCCGAGGUAGGAUAUUUGUCAAUAAAUGUGCUUCGAUUCCGGCACAAUACUAUUGACUGUGCGAGCCUCGGACUCUUCUCUGAAGUCUCGUUGAUGUUGAGUAUGCUGACUCCCUUCUGGCUGCUGGCCUCGUUGCAUUGGUGGUGGAGGUGGAAGAUGUUGCCAAGAUGUCUGAGAUUGACUUUCCGAAGCAACAGAACCUGUAGGGUGGUUACCCACAUACUCUGGGAUAUAAGGCGAGUGGUACAAAGCAGUAUGCAUGACCUGCUUCGGUUGGGUCUGUUGGGCUGCAGCUUCUGCUACUUCUUUUUGUUUCUGGAUGGUGACAUGGCACAUCCUGGUGGUGUGGCCCUUGUCCUCACCACAGAAUAAGCAAUAAAUUUUCCUUGGCUGAUCCCCAAAUCUUCCUCCGAAGCCCCUGGCACCUCUGCCCCUUGGAGCUAGAGACCGAGGAUAAUUCUGCUGCUGCCCCGAAGCCUGGGAAGCCUGUGAGGAAUAUUGCGGCCUCUGCUGUUCGCUUCCCCUGUCAUCAUUCUAAGUGGAAUGAAUCGAUCUGACAUGUCUAGGAUGAAACCUCCCUCCAAAGCCCCUGGCUAUUUCGGAGAAUCUGUAAGCUUCCUCCCUUCUCUGUCGGAAGUCAUUGUCAGCGUGGAUGUAUUCAUCCAUCUUCUAAAGCAAUUUCUCCAGAGUCUGAGGGGGUUUCCUUGCAAAGUAUUGGGCUGAAGGUCCCGGCCGAAGCCCCUUAAUCGUGGCCUCAAUGAUAAUUUCAUUGGGCACUGUUGGCGCUUGUGCCCUCAGGCGUAAGAAUCUUCGGACAUACGCCUGAAGAUAUUCUUCGUGAUCUUGGGUGCACUGGAAUAAAGCUUGAGCAGUGACCGGCUUCGUUUGAAACCCUUGGAAACUGGUGAUCAGCAUAUCCUUCAGCUUCUGCCAUGAUGUGAUUGUUCCUGGCCGAAGGGAGGAGUACCAGGUUUGUGCAACAUUCUUGACAGCCAUGACAAAAGACUUCGCCAUGACUGCAGUAUUGCCACCAUAGGAAGAUAUUGUUGCUUCGUAGCUCAUCAGAAACUGCUUCGGAUCUGAGUGGCCGUCGUACAUGGGGAGUUGAGGUGGCUUGUAGGACGGAGGCCAAGGUGUAGCCUGCAGUUCUGCUGACAGAGGAGAAGCAUCAUCAAAAGCAAAAUUUCCAUGAUGGAAAUUCUCAUACCAGUCAUCUUCGUUGAAGAAGCCCUCCUGAUGAAGCUCUCUGUGUUGAGGCCUUCGGUUCUGCUCAUCUUGAGUAAGAUGGCGAACUUCUUCGGAGGCUUCGUCUAUCUACCUUUGCAGGUCAGCUAGCCUAGCCAUCUUUUCCUUCUUCCUUUGCACCUGCUGAUGAAGCAUCUCCAUAUCUCUGAUCUCUUGAUCCAAUUCGUCCUCCUGAGGCAUUGGACUGGUGGCCUUCCUCUUCUAGCUUCGGGCCUCCCGAAGAGAGAGGGUCUCCUGGUUGGGGUCCAGCGGUUGCAGAGCUGCAGCCCCUAUUGCUAAAGCUUUCUUUGGCGGCAUGACGAAGGUCUAUGCUUGCCGAAGGUGUUCGAAACUCAAAAAGUGGAAGUGAGUUCACCGGAGGUGGGCGCCAAUGUUGGGGACUUAUUCUCAAAUGCUAAGAGUUAAGAACAAGGCAACAUGAAAAGUGUUAAAUGUUAAAGUCCUUCGUCCUUCGAGACAUUAUUUCCCUUCGGAUAUAAUGAAUUCCGGACGAAGGUUGUGAAGGAAAAACCUUCGUGAGCACAAUAAAUGAUGAGGAAGAAUUCAUAUACGAAAUACGAAAAAUAAUAUAAACAUUAUCAUCAACUUAUUUUUAUUUGCAUUACCAUAUCCACAAUAACAAAUUAUAGAUGUACCUUCGGUUUGACAGAAAGUAAGGGUACAUGCGUGAUGCAAAAAGCGAAUGCCAAGUCAGCGUGAACAGUACGGGAGUACUGUUCAUCUAUUUAUAGGCAAGGGACGCAGCCCAUGAAAAAUUAUAUUCAUGCCCUUUACAUUUGCUAAUAACUCUAUAGUAAUUCUUCGAGGUCUAAUUUGCCUUUUCAUCUUUAAGUCGGUUCCCCUUUUCUACUGUUAUGCCGAAGCUUUCCUGCGCACAGCUUCGUGAUCACCUUGUCCUUCGUCAUAAUCAUCUUUCGUCUCGCUCAGGCUUCAUCCUAACCAUGCUCUGUAUGCUCAUGAUCCGAAACCGAAGAUACAUGUUCACAUAUUUCACUUGGAAAACAUUGUCAAAUCAUGUUUUUGAGGACCUUCGAAAGCCGAAGGCCCCCAACAUCAGCUUUAUAACACGACGACAAAGUGUUUAGGCCUCGGCGGCCGCAAAAAAACACAUGCAUGUUCCAAACAAACUGCCCCGACAGAAUCAAGCAUCGCCCGGGGGAGGAGCGGCACCGUCAGCACCGUCUCCACCCUCGGUGAGAUCCGCCCCGGCCUUGGACGGCGACGCAAGCGGAAGGAUCUCCACCUCGAAGGAGGACGCUAGCACCGCGCUUGGGCCCGCGACGGCCGCGUCAAGCCUCUGAACCUUGGCUAAGGCAGCUUCAUCUUCGUUGGGUAGAUAGUACCCCUCGCUGACUCGCUCCAGGUCCACGUCGUAGUGGGAAGCGAGCACGGCGAAGGCCCGCCUAACGUCGUGAUGCAGCGCCUCGCGGAGUCUGCUGCACACAUGGCUGCCCAAGGCCUGCAGGCGACUCUGGGGGGAACUUCCCGAGGGGACGUCGUCAAGACCAAAGACCUGGCAGAAGGCCGAGAUAGCUUCAGACAUGGCCACGCGGUCAGCCUCCUUCUGCUCAGCCGCCUGGGCAAGUGCCUUGGCGGACUCGUUGAGGGCUGACUCGAACUCUGCAAAUAGCCAAACAGAAUUCUUCAGACACGAGUUGAAGAAUGAAGUUGAAUCGAAGUCACAAAGCGGCCAAAACAUACCUUCAGCCCGGGCACGCUGCUCCGAGGCUGUGGCUUGGGCGGACUGGGCAGACCCGACGGCCACGGCCAGGUCCUCCGCAAGGGCUCCGGCCCGAGCAGACACCUCGGCUAGCUGGCCCCCAAGGGUCUCAGCCCGACUUUCAGCCUCGGCAGCCUGGUUCCGAGAUUGGUCCCGCUCGCCGAUGACCUGGCCAAGCUCCACCUGUCGCUGCUGCGCCUCUACGCGUGCCGCCGCUGCCUCCACCUCCAGCUCAUCACAGAGCAACCGAAGGUCCGCUACCUCGGCGCUCCAUUGGGCGAGGCAUUCAGUAGCCUCGAUAAGCACGACCCUCGGUGGCGUCCGCAGCCUCCGGUGGAGCGAAGCCUGGGGGAGGUUGCAGUUGUCCUCCGGAGCUACAGGUGCGGAGACUGCCUUCGGGUGUGGGUUGCUCAUUGCGCUGCCUCUUGCUGAAUGCGUCGUCUUCGUAGGUUUCUUGGUGGGUGGUGUCGACAAGGGCCUUGCCCUUUUUCUCAGCCAGCAGCGUUGCCUUCGCAGCUUCGUCAACGGAUGGGGCUGCCUUCGAGCUAGCUCUCUUGGGUGCCAUCGCAGGUGGUUUUUCGUAGCACGAACGGUGGGCGCCAAAUGUUGGAACUUGCUCUCCCAAGCAAGAUGAUCCAACGAGGGAGUGAAAGUAAUACAGACAAGGUUUUAGCUCAAGAGGGCAAUUGCACUGUUAAUCUAGCCUCUCAAGGGCACUGUGCAGGGGUAUUUAUAGGUACCUGAGUGCCCAGCGUCAUGGAUUAAGGACGCAUGUGCCCUCAGGCGCCUAGGUCAUCCCCGGAAUAUUCCCAUAAAGCAGGGUUACAAACUAUCAUUAUAGAAAAGCCUUUACAAACCGGGCCCGUAAUGCACAGCAGCCGCGGCGGGGCCCGUUACAAUGGACCGAAUUCUAUGUGGGCCUUCACGUUGGACGAGGCCGUGAGACGGAGCGACCUCGUCGUAGGCCUUCGUCUUGCAGCGUAUUAGACGAAGGGUGGAGACUGCUAGUCGUCUUGUCUCCGUUGGUGCGGCGAGAUUGGCGAAGGCAUCGAGCGAAGGGUAGCGUCUUCGCCUUCGCCCCAACAGCAGUGAACCCCAGACGUCGGCCUCGCGGCGGAUGAACAGCGACUUUGCGGUGCUCAGAUCCGUCAGAUCCUGAGGAAGGGAAGCAGGGUGUCACAAAGAAUGCCCUGGUCACGCGAAAGGUAUGCCUGAAAUCCUUACCUGGAGGAUCCUGGGAACGUCCCUGGAAAGGAUCUCCAUGGUCGACCGAAGCAACCCCAUCGCUGCCUCGGCAUACUCACGGAGCUCAUCCCGAGACUGCUCCUCCCGCUCAUCGUCAAGGACGAAGAAGGGUUUCGAGGUGCCGCGGGUCCAGAACCGGAGCGCCUGCCCACGCCGCUCAUUGGGAUUGCGCCGUGCGGGGAUGAGGUCGCCGCUCCCCAAGACGGGCCGCGGUUCUGCGCCCCCCUCCUCCAAGGCGUCGGGACCCCCUGUAGCCGACGCAUCGGGUACCCCCUCGGCCAAGGAGGCGGGCUUCCGAUCACCGACCUCGAGCAGCGGCACCUCAGCCAUCUCAGCAUCAGCGGCGACGGGUGGCUCCACGGGCAAAACAGCAACGGCCUCGGCAGGAGCUGGUGCCGGCGCCGACAACACGUCAGGUGGGCUCAAGGCCACGGCCGCGCCAGCAGCCUCCCCCGGCACGAUGGCCGCCUCGACGGAGGGGUCAGCCUGGGGAGCUUGCCCCAUGGCAACUCAUGCCGCCUGGGCCCCCUGCUUGAGGGCAUCUUGUGCGGAGGCCAGCCAACUGGCGUGGCACGGCACAGCACUGGCUGCAGAAGCUGGCAUCGUCUUAAGGGCCUUCCAAGGAGCCAGACCGGCCGAACCUUGCCUCCGUUUGCUAAGAGGAAAAGAUAAAGCGGGAUCAGGACACACGAAGAAGGAGCCAAAACAGUGGUAUCCUUAGAUACUUACCCGCUCCGGACCAAGGCCAAUCGUGCCUGCGGGGAGGCCCCUCGGGCCUCGAUCCCCACAGGCGCUGCCGAGGUUUGCCCCGCUGCAGGCUUCGGCACCGUUCCCGGGGCACCGAAGGGACAGUUCGCCUAGGCUCAGUCACAACGGCCUGAGGAUCAACCUCCUGUACGGUCGGCACGGGCGACUGCUCUUGGGGGACAGGCGGGUCGGCCUGACUCCCUGGGGUCACCUCAACUACCUCGGCCAAGGGGUCAAGUACCCGCUCGGCCUGCCCCCGCUCCUCGGACCAAGACCUAGAUGGCCCGGCCUCAGAUGCCGACGGCUCCAGCCCACUUGGAGGCUGGCUCGAUGAUCCCUGGCCCAGCCUCAGAACCGGGCUAAGGCCAAGGCAGGCCGCCAUGUCGUCCUCCUCGUCAUCAUCGUCAUCAUCAUCGUCGUCGUCGGGCGUCUCCGGCGACGGCUCCCUCGGGAGCCCGUCCCUCUCCUGCCUCCGACGGUGCCUCUCCAAGGCGUGCCGGGCCCGCAUCCGCUCGCGAGCCCGGGCCUUCUCCGCGUCCUUCUUCUCCUUCUUCUUCUCCGCGGCGACCCUCCGCGCGGCUCGGUCCACCGCGUCCUCCGGGACCGGUGGCAGGGAGGGCUUGAAAAACCCCAACUCCUGGAGACGAACGGAAAUCCCGACGGUAAGAAUCAAAGGCAACCCGGCACAAGGUAGAAGAAGGAGCGGACACUCACCAGGGACACGUACCCACACUCGGGACGCAUCACGGGCUGGGUAAGGGCGCCGGCAUCCAGCCUCCCUACCGUGCCCGCUACCCGUCUGCGGAGGUCGUCGGUGGAAAGGGGAACCGAGGACAUCUGCGAGCCCUCCAAAUCAACCCCUGGCUUCAUCUCCGUGAGCGGCAACAGCCGCUCUGCCAAAGGGAGCACCCUCCGGCGAUGGAUGGCGGCGACUACCCCCGCAGCGGUGAGUCCCCCAUCUCGCAAACUCUGCAAGGCCUCCAGAAGAGGCUGGAGAUUCUCUUGUUUCUCGCGCGUGGCCCCCCAACGCCAGUUGCUACCGGCGGCGGUCACCACUAGUUGGGAAAACGACGGAAGCCUUCUGUCGUCAUUCCGGAGGUAAAACCACCGGCGGUGCCACCCCUUGUUCGAAGACACAAGGAUGGCAGGGAUGUAUUGCUGCGCGCGCGCCUGCCUCAACUAGAGGGUGCAGCCACCGGCCCGCACCGCCAUGCGGACCUUCUUUUCCCCCAUCGUCAAGGCGAAAAGCUCCGCGGAGAAGAGAUGGGUCCAUAAAUCCCAGUGGGGGUCAACCCCCAGAAAACCCUCGCAAACCGCCGCGAAGAUGGCCGCUUGCGCAAUGGAGUUGGGGUUGAAGUUGUGCAGCUCCACCCCGUAAUAAUGCAGGAGCGCCCGCAUGAAACGACUUGCUAGCACUCCGAACCCCCGCUCGUGGAAGGAGACGAAACUAACCACAUACCCUGCUGGCGGAGUCGGGACGACCUCGCUCGCGGGGACCACCCACUCCGGCUGCGGGUCACCGGAGAGGGGACGAAGCAAGCCAUCGGCGACGAGGGCCUCUAGAUCAUCCACCGUGACGGUGGAGAGAGGCCACGGAUCGCGCGGCGAAACAACGGUCACCCUGUCGGCCAUCACCGAACGAAAGGGGUGGAGGCGGAAGGAACGAGGUGCACGGUUUUCUUUUCUCUGGCUAUUCUCUUAGGUUGCGGAAACCAAAGCAGAAGGCGAGCAGCAGAGUAAAGAACCACCGCCGGCCCCUCUUCCGAGUAUAUAAAGGCCCGGGCGAGAUCCGUUCAACACUUCGCCCGAACCUGCCGCGAAAUUCAAACUCGAAGGCGAAACGUCCGUUCCUCGAACGACUCACGCACGCGCAAUGGCCACCCCACGAAUCGUCCGUCCCGUCGCAUUAACUUUGCGGUAGAGCAAGCGACACCUUUGGCAGGUGAAGCGGGCGACAUUUCACCUCCGCCAUGAGGACCGCGUCAAAAAAGGUGCGCCACGCCGUUUAAAUUCAUAUCCUUUUCCUUCUCCCCUUUCUCUCUCUUUCUACAGGUACCGAGAAAGGGGAUACUUCGAAAGGGAUCCUUCUCCACGAAGGAAGCGGGCCCCAAGCCCUCCUACUGAUCAGGGGUUCGAAGGCUGGCCCCUCGGAAGGGUUCGACAGCCACCCCAGAGCACUCGGGCUUCAGGCUCAUUACUGAUCAGAGGUUCGAAGGCUGGCCCCUCGGAAGGGUUCAACAGCCGCCUCAGAGCACUCGGGCUCCGCGCCCACUAUUGAUCAGGGGUUCGAAGGCUGGCCCCUCGAAGGGUUCGACAGCUGCCCCAGAGCACGCAGAGCGAGGGAUGACUCUGGGUACGUCCGAUACAUGGCCGAGGCUCGGGCUACGCUCCCGAGGUACCCUAGGACAUUUCCGAGACCAGCAGGAAUAAUUUUGUAACGGAAUCCCACCAGAGGGAGGCAUCGAGCCCUCGGACCCAAUCGAACGGGACCGGGUCCGGCAAAUCACCUGCAGGUACUUUUGGAGCGCGCCUCUGGGCCACUAGCCGACCCUUAUCGAACGGGGCACGGGCAUCCGCUCGGAUUACCCGUUAGCAACUCACUGGAGACACCGUGUUCGGCGCCCCCCAGGGGCAACAUGGCGCUUUCCCCCCCUCCUCCUUGUGGAAAGGCGACGAAGGGGCGUAUGAUAAAAGCUGAGUCAGUCCUUGAUCGUCCUCUCGCUCCGUGCAGAGGCUCGGGGGCUGCUCUCGCAAACCUAGCUACGGCCAAACCGUUGACAGCGUCAACAGACCAGCCCGAGAACUCGGAACCCGACCAUGCACCCGGGCUACCAUCAAAUCGCAUGAGGGAACAACCAGACCGGCCAAGGCAUCGCAAAAAGCAUUAAGACCUCAGAGGAGUCAAACCACUCCUCCGAGGCCUCGGGGGCUACACCCGGCGGGUGCACUCGCGCGCACCCACCGAAACAAAAUGUAACCGAGAAAGGCUGGUCCCCUUGCAAAAAAGUGCGACAAAGCCUCCAAGCGAGUACCAACACUCCCUUUGAGGCUCGGAGGCUACUGUCGGGUACCGUAAUUAGGGGUACCCCCAACACUCCUAAACUCGGCUAGUAAUCACCAUCAGCACAAGUUGCAGAGACUGAUGACAACGUCAAAAAAGGUCAAGGCUCCAUCCGCUCAAGGGACGCGAUCUCGCCUCGCUCGAGCCCAGCCUCGGGCAGGAACAGUAGACCCAGGCGAAUUCACGCCUCGCCCGAGGGCCUCCUCAAGCAACGGGCGCACCCUCGACUCGCCCGAGGCCCAGCUCGGGCAGGCUUCGCAGUGAAGCAACCUUGGCCAGAUCGCCUCGCCAACCGACCGUAUUGCAGGAGCAUUCAAUGCGAGGAUCGCCUGACACCUUAUCCUGACGCACGUUCCUCAGUCGACAGGGCCGAAGUGACCGCAAUCACUUCGCCCCUCCACUGACUGACCUGACAGGAAAACAGCGCCGCCUGCCCCGCUCCGACUGCUGUGCCACCCGCCAGGGCAGGGCUGAGAACAAAUAAGUCCAGCCUCAGGCGCAACAGGAAGCUCCGCCUCGCCCGACCCCAGGGCUCGGCCUCAACCCCGGCCUCGGAAGACAGUCUCUGCCUCGCCCGACCCCAGGGCUUGGCCUCAACCUCGACCUCGGAAGACGAUCUCCGCCUCGCCCGACCCUAGGGCUCGACCUUGGCCCCGACCUCAGAAGGAAUCGCGUCCUCAACCAACCCCGGCCUCGGCCUCAGGAGGAGUCACCACCUCGCCCGACCUUGGGCUCGGACCGACCACGCCACAGGGGGGGUACAUCAUUACCCUACCCCUAGCUAGCUCAGGCUACGGGGAACAAGACCGGCGUCCCAUCUGGCUCGCCCCGGUAAACAAGUAAUGAUGGCACCCCGCGUGCUCCCAUGAUGACGGCGGUUCUCAUCCCCCUACGGAAGCAAGGAGACGUUAGCAAGGUCCCACCAGCCCCGACAGCUGUGCUUCUACAGGGCUCAAGCGCUCCUCCGACGGCCACGACAUCGCAUGCACAGGGCUCUAGCACCUCUCCAACAGCCACGUUGGCAUGUACAUAGGGCUCUGGCUCCUCUCUGCCGGACACGUUACCGUAUUGCUACACCCCCAUUGUACACCUGGACCCUCUCCUUGCAUCUAUAAAAGGAAGGUCCAGGGCCCUCAUACGAGUGGGUGGUCGCGCGGGAGGACGGGCUGACGAACAGGCUCUCUCUCUCUCCCUCGCGAACGCUUGUAACCCCCUACUGCAAGCGCAUCUGCCCUGGGCACAGGAUAACACGAGCCGCGGUUCUCUCCCCCCUUAUGUUCCAUCUCGCGCCGACCCAUCUGGGCUGGGACACGCAGCGACAAUUUUACUCGUCGGUUCAGGGACCCCCGGGGUCGAAACGCCGACAGAUGGAUAAUAAGAGGACUUACUCAAUGUCAAAAGUAGUUCAACAAGUUGGUUUUACUAACUUGUAACUGCCCAAUGAACAAAGGUUGAGUUUAGAGAUCGUUUUAUCGAGUUGUCUGAACUCACUUUGGUUCAACCCAUCCUAAGGAAGUGCUUGCAAGAAUUAAGUUAAGUUGGCCGGUAACCACCUAGUCAUCGCUCUAGUCGUGUCUCGAUCGCCUCACGUAUGGUUUUCUGACGUGUGUGAUCAGUUCGAGCCAUGAUUAGUGCUCGAUAAAAUGGAUUGGUUACGAAGGUAGCAUCUACAGAUCCCUCCGCUGGUGAUUUUCUCGAAUUUAUAUCACCUUUCAUAGACUUGGAUAACACGAGUUAACUGUGAUGUUAUUUGACAUUCACACCCAUCUCGUGUGCUAUGAAUUUCCCGUGACCACUUGUUGGUAAACCUCUUUCUGUGUGUUUUACCCAAGAGGUUGCAUCUGGUUUUGUUUGGGUAAAAUCGCGUAUUUACCGCUCGCUCAACAGACUCAGAUAGUACAGUGUUAUUAGAAAAAGCAAACUGCAUACAUGGAACCUUAUGUGUUCUUCUGGCAGACAUUGUCUGUACUAAUGAACAUCUUUAAAUUAGCCUAAGACGAUACAUGAUAUGUCCACUAGAGAAACCACAUUCUGAGACACUCGCCUUUGUUUGGAACUGUCUCAUUAUUAUCGCUGAUAUGGACAUGGGUUACAUGCUUCUCUACUCUUAAAAGUUUUCACUCCGAAUCUCGGGACAAGAUUCUUUUAAGGGAGGAGGGUUGUAAUACCCCUGGUGUUUAUAUUCCGCUCGACAACGAGUAUGUAUUUAAGCAUGUAAUAUCAGUGGAUAAAAUGGAUGCUAAAAUUUUAAUCAUUUCCGUCUAUCAUGAUUUUAAUAUCGCAUCUGUUUCGUUGUCGUGAGUUCGACACCGUUUUUAUUUAUCCGGGCUCUUCCUAAAUUUUCGUGAUGUUCGGAACAUAGCUGUUCCAAAAAUCGAUGAGUCCGAUUAUUAUUUAAAAUUUAUCGCUCACGCGAAUGCGAACUCGGAAGCCCGACCCACUCGGAUGAUUUUAUCCCGAACAGAUUAAGAACUCGACGACUAAGCUUUCAGUGUAAAAUAAUUUAAUCCCCUUCUGUCAACCAUGACAUCGCGUCUACAGAUUCUUGAUUGAAUUAUUCUCUAGUCGAGUGUUCGAGUAGCGAACGGAAAUCAUCUGAAGUCAACUGAAUCAAAUGCAGAUUAAAAUACAGAAGCCGAAAUCCGUUUAAUUUAGUCUGUUGCUUCUCGCUUCGGUCUAAAUCUUCAAAAAGUGAAUUAACAGUAUGAAUUCAUCCGACUUUAGAAUAUUUGCCAAAUCAAAUGCUGUCCAAUUGUUGCUGUCGAUCUCAUUUGUUCGACCCUUCUAUUUUAUAGACCCUUAUUUUAUAUCCUGAAAUAUCUAUAAAUUUCUUUAUAAAAAUAAGAGGAAGUAAAAGGAAAAUAUGAAAAUGUGAGAAAAAAAUCUGCUGCACGUCGGUACAGAUUUUUUUCAAGUCGUCGUUAUCUUCCUCCUGAUUUUCUCGCCACCGCACAGCUUCGUCGCUAUCCUUCUUCCCCUGAUAUUUUUGUACGGCGCCGCCCCUGGGCUCUUCAAAAAUGCAGCCGACGCUCAUAUUCUGGCCGAGUGCUCCUCCCACGCGCGCUCCUCUGUCUCCCAUGGCACGCGCGUGCCUCCUGGUCGGCUGCUGCUCCCUGCGCUCACCGUGGCUCCCUGCUGCAGCUCGCCCCCAGCUCACCACGCGGCUCCCAUGGCGUGCUCCUCUCUGCCGAGCGGCUCUUCCCCACGGCGCCGUCGAAUCCCGUCUUCCUCUGCUCGCGCGGGCCGUGCCCCUGCUUCCCCUCCCUAGCCGAGCUCGCCGAUUCCCUUUCCCCAAGCUCCAUGGCUGGCCGCGCCCAGCGUCCUCCUCUCAGCUUCCCACGCGCACCGGCUUGCUCCCUGCUCGGUUCCGUGACCGCGCCGUGUGCCCAUCUCCUAUGCACGCAUGCUCCCUCCCUGUUCCUCCAAACCAGUCGAGCUCCUCCUUGUGUCCGUACCGAGCUCCUUCCCUACGCCGGUCGGAUCUCUCUGGUGCUCCCCCAGUCUGGCGCGGCAAACGGGGAAAGAAACAGCCGAGUUCCUCUGCGCGCUACCACGUCUUCUCGCUCGGCCUGCUCCGGAUCCGAAGCUGGUCACCCUGUGUGCUCGACUUUGCCUUGUCGCAAAACCCCGACGCCGUUGAGCCUCACUGCCCAUCACGAAGUUCCCUACUAUCAGCCUCCGCACCCGUUCCGUUAGACCGUCGUAGUCAGUUUGCCUCCAUCCCGUGGUGGUGUUGCGCUACCGUCGAGUCCCGAUAUCGAUCCGGUGGUCGUCGAAGUGAAGCUCUGAACGGAUUUGACCAUAUCCAGCACUACCCAUGUCGUUGUCGUUCGCCUUCGUGCUGUGAGCGAUAGCAUCGUCAUUUCCUUCAUGUGCUCACCCUCGAUCUCCGCCUUGCCAUCACCCUUGAUCACAGCACUGUGUCGACGACUUGCGAUCCUCACUCUCGCGCUCACGCUUUGUCGAAUGUCACUCUAGUACUCGUCAGAAGAAGAGCUUCAACAGUUGAUUACUGAAGAAAAGAAGAACCCUGGGUGACAUCUACCUAGUACUCGACGGAAAUUCUGAAGUACAAUUUAUCACCGUGUCCAUGGAAGUGGAGCGACUUAAUAUUGGUAAGCGAACUCGUUACUUCGGAUAGUUGGAAUGGUAAUUUGAUUGGCUAGAUUUAUUAAUCGUAAUAAUCCUCGUGUUGGCACAGGCGCGUUGUGGUAGUGUUAAAUAUGUGUGAAAUACGAUGGAGUUAGUAAUGCGAAAGGUAGAUUAAAUUAUACGAUAUUCAGGUGAGCUGAUGAUGUAAAAUAUAGGAUUAGUAUUCCUAUCAGCUAGUUGAUAGAUUUUCUAGUGUUAUUAUGUCAAUUUGGUUAAUUGAUAUAGUCGAUACCCUACUUAAUUAGUUAGUUUAUUCUAGGUUUGGUAUUUAGUUCGAUGUCAUGAGGGAUGUGCAAAUUACCUCGUGUAAUUAACAAUGAAUGACAUCGACCUAUCUAAUUAGCGUGGAAUUCAAGAUAAUUGAGAAACACAAUUUAGAAAGUUAGUUAAUAUGCCCCUUUACUCUAAGUUGUCGGUAUUCGAAAAUAGUGAAUAAAAAUUUGACGAGUAAUUUGAUAUUGGGUGUUUUGACAAAAGACUUGUGCUUAGCUUAUUAUUACUUGAUGUUUGAAGUAGAUGCGAUUACGCUAGAAAAGUGUAAUAAUUCGGCGUAGUCGUAUAUCGGUAACUAGUGUUUCCGUAUAAAAUUGUACAAUGCCUCGCCGCUAGGUGUUUAAUUCGCUAUCGCGUAGCACUAUUUAGGUUUGUAAUAUUCUUGUCUAUAUGCAUUCAUGUGCAUAAUGCAUUUCAUUCAGAUACGUUAAUUAAUCGCGUGAUGCGGAAGACGAGCCAAGUCGACCCCAAGCGCGGGCUAAUCCGCAUGGUGAUGCUGAUGGACGAAAUUGCCUGAACAAAUGUCAAGACAAAAUGAUGGUCGUCAAGUGGUCGCCACCUAACAAACACUAACGUAGUGUUUAUUCUAGGCAAGCCCCGGUGCAUGCAACCCCUUCCUUGUGUUUUUAAAUAAUUUUUUACACACUUUAAGUCUAGCGAAAUGUGCAUUGGGUUUAUAGGAGUUGCUUGGAAACCCUUUGAUGCAUUGGCUACCUUGAAAUCCAUUCCUUCUAUAGAUACUUCUGGUGAUGUAUCAAAUAUGAUUUACAAAAUUGCUUAGCCUUGCCUAGAGGUAAAUCUUGCGGAUAGAGGUUGUCCUUUGCGUUAAUGCCUAGCUCAGGGGUUAUCCUGAGGAAGGAUGGCUUCUGCCUGCAAGAAUAUUUUCAUUGGGAGCAGUGGUAGGAUCUUACUGCAAAGUUCCCUAUAAUGCUCUUUUCAUCCUAAGGAAUACAAACAAUCCUAAGGAUGGAAGUACUUAAAUCAGGACUUGGGCUAGGAACAGGUGAUGUUCUACCCAGGUUGAUUAAGGAUUAUACUGAAUGUAGGCUUGAUGAUCGAGGACCUUUUAACUGGUCACAUGCCUCAUCAUGGGUAAGCUUUGCCUCGGGCAGACUAAUACCAGAAUAAGAUAACACACAAUGGGAGUGGAGAGAUGGCGAGAGUAGCGUGUACCCUCCGUGGCAAGAGGCUGGACGGUGGUGUAUCUGUGCUCUCAGAUUGCGUGAACCUGAUCUAGUCUUAAGAACCCCGGUGGCGAGUUGACAUAUGCAAGGGUUAAGUGCUACAUAUGUUGUGUGAUUGGAGAUCCCCAGCUGAGUAUUAAUCUAUUCGGAUCACCGUUACUUCUCAGACAUGAAGACUUGGUCACUGCCCUGCAAUCUAAGUCAUGGAUGGAAUCUUAAUGAGCAAAAAUCAUGUUGGAUUGAAUAAUGUGAUGGUGAAAUUACACUAGAUGCAAACAAGGUCUAUUAAUACUUAAUCUAGCAUUAAAAUGUUGAAAGUAAGGACUCACUUUAGUAAGCUAUUUCUGCAAAAGUAUCUAAGUUGAUUCAUGCUAAAGCCUUUUCCUUGAUUCCUAUUUAACCCGCAUAUCCUUGAGAGUCUUUU
rnacentral:lncRNA from 1 species